UACGGAAGGGGCAAGCGUUGUUCGGAAUCAUUGGGCGUAAAGGGCGCGUAGGUGGUUCUGUAUGUCUACCGUGAAAGCGUACGGCUCAACCGUAUUUUGUCGGUAGAAACUGCAGGACUUGAGGCUGGGAGGGGCUGGUGGAAUUCCCUGUGGUAGCGGUGAAAUGCGUAGAGAUGGGGGAGAACACUCGUGGCGAAGGCGGCCAGCUAGACCAGUUCUGACACUGAGGCGCGACAGCGUGGGGAGCAAACAGG
rnacentral:rRNA from 1 species